rnacentral:rRNA from 1 species
ACAAGCGGAGGAGCAUGUGGUUUAAUUCGAUGAUACGCGAGGAACCUUACCUGGGCUCGAACGUAAGAUGACUGUAGGUGAAAGCUUACAUCUCUUCGGAGCAUUUUACGAGGUGCUGCAUGGUUGUCGUCAGCUCGUGCCGUGAGGUGUCGGGUUAAGUCCCAUAACGAGCGCAACCCCUACCUUAGUUGCCAUCAGGUUAAGCUGGGGACUCUAAAGGAACUGCCUACGCAAGUAGUGAGGAAGGCGGGGAUGACGUCGAAAUCAGCACGGCCCUUACGUCCAGGGCUACACACGUGCUACAAUGGCCGAUACAGAGGGCAGCUACCUGGUGACAGGAUGCAAAUCUCCAAAGUCGGUCUCAGUUCGGAUCGGAGUCUGCAACCCGACUCCGUGAAGUUGGAUUCGCUAGUAAUCGCGCAUCAGCCAUGGCGCGGUGAAUACGUUCCCGGGCCUU